rnacentral:rRNA from 1 species
UACGAAGGGGGCUAGCGUUGCUCGGAUUUACUGGGCGUAAAGAGCGCGCAGGCGGUCGAAUAAGUCGAAUGUGAAAGCCCCCGGCUUAACUGGGGAGGGUCAUUCGAUACUGCUCGACUUGAAGGCAGGAGAGGGUAGUGGAAUUCCCGGUGUAGUGGUGAAAUGCGUAGAUAUCUGGAGGAACACCGGUGGCGAAGGCGGCAUCCUGGGCUAACACUGACGCUCAUGCACGAAAGCGUGGGGAGCAAACAGG